rnacentral:lncRNA from 1 species
UUUUUUUUAACCCAGUUCACCGACCCAAAGUCCACCCUCAUUGCUUCUCUCUCUCCCCUUUUUCCUCAUCUCUUCUGCUCGCCUUACUAUUAUGACAAUGGCCGGAAAUCAUGGAGAACUUUCAGAUUUGUCACCUCACAGAUUCUCUUCGUCUUUCUCUAUACCUAUAUACACAUUUAUAUACAGAUCUGGAUAAGUAUAUAAAAGAGACCGGAGAUCUGAAAAUUUUGGGUCUAUAUUUUAUUGGAUCUGAUCGCAAAUAUAUUUUCCGGCGAAUCAUUUGCUCUCCGUUUUCAUAUCUUACUUUUAUUUUACGGAUCCAAAAGGGAGAUAAAAUAGAUAGCUGAAAUUCCGACCCUGGUGCUUGAUCGGAAUCUUGCCGAAAAAUUUUCCGGCAACCUUUGUGCACAUGUUCCCUCUGACCGUGCUCCAUUGUCUAACGUCUUUCUAGUAACAUCUCAGCCUGUAUUGGUUACUUCAUUUUGUAAAACCAAUAUUUUGGGUUGUGGUAUCGAAAUUAAUCUAAUUGGUUUUGAGAUUAGAUUUUUGGAAAUCUACCAGAAUCUUGAUAUCCAAACUUAUUAAAUUGCUGAAGAAAUUAAUUUUUUUUAUUAUUGUCAUGGUCCCAUCACAGUUUGUUAUUGCUUUACUUACUUUGUAUGUUUUAUUUUGA